rnacentral:rRNA from 1 species
UACGUAGGGUGCAAGCGUUGUCCGGAAUUAUUGGGCGUAAAGAGCUCGUAGGCGGUUUGUCGCGUCUGCUGUGAAAACGCGAGGCUCAACCUCGCGCCUGCAGUGGGUACGGGCAGACUAGAGUGCGGUAGGGGAGAUUGGAAUUCCUGGUGUAGCGGUGGAAUGCGCAGAUAUCAGGAGGAACACCGGUGGCGAAGGCGGGUCUCUGGGUAGUAACUGACGCUGAGGAACGAAAGCGUGGGUAGCGAACAGG